rnacentral:lncRNA from 1 species
AUGUCUGUGUUAUGGUUGUUUCCACAGUUAGUGUUGGUUGGUAUUGGAGAAGCUUUUCAUUUUCCUGGACAAGUUACAUUCUACUACCAACAAUUUCCACAAUCACUUAAGAACACAUCAACAGCAAUGAUUUCAAUGCUUAUAGGAAUUGCUUUUUAUUUGAGCACUGCUUUAAUUGACCAAGUUCGUAGGAGUACUGAUUGGUUACCUGAUGAAAUAAAUCAUGGCAAGGUUGAUAAUGUGUAUUGGAUGUUAGUAGUGUUUGGAGGUAUCAACUUUGUGUAUUACCUAUUGUGCUCUAUUUCUUACAAGUAUGAAAAUGUUUAGGAUGUGAUGUUAUGAUAAAUGUGGUUCUAUGGUUGGAAUAAUAAGUAAUAAUGAUAAUAUGUUCAUUUUUUGAUUUGUUGAAGUGAUGAUAAUAUUUUCUUCUCUCCUGCAUUUUACCAUGGAAAAUAUUAUUUAUGACAUUGCAUAUGCACACUAGUAAGGGGGCUUUCUCGUCCAAAGCCGAGUACUAUGUUUCAUUUCCUUUUGUUGAGAUUUUCUAUAAUAGUUGGAUGUACGAUUAGGGAAAAGAUUGUCUAUUUAAUUAAAGAGAGAAUUUUGCCAUGCUUAGCACACCUGCAUGGCUAAAAACAUCAAAAUGAUUUCAUAUAAAUUCUAUGUUUUGGGGUGAUGUUUCCAGGUUUAGCAGAUUACAUCGGAAGAUGGAGGUGUAACCAAUAACUCAUCGACCAUUCAAUGUCUUGAGUGCGCCAAACGUCUAGAGUUUAAGAUUUGGUUAUUAUAUGUAUGAAAAGAUCUCAAAUUUCUUUUACUUGUAACUAUUUUACAAAGUUGAUCAAUUAGUGCAUUUUCAGUUAAAGUCUAAAUAAUUAGUUCAUUCUGAGAUAGAACUUUAUUGUUGUUUCUUUGCAUCAUAAAAUUUAUAAGAUGAGGAAAUAAAUUAGUGAAGUUAAUUUAUGAUUCUAAUUUAGAAAAUUAGUGAAGUUAACAUAGAAAAUUCAACAUUCAGAGGUGUAACCCCUUUUAUUCAACAAAAAAAAAAAGUUCAACAUCAAUCAUCUAUCACAGGUUGAUCUUCAUAUCAUUUUCAGACCAGCUGCAGUGUUCUGAUUAUCUUAGUUUGAAAGCAUGUUUGCUGCUGUUCAAUUUUCAAAUGAUGUAGAAUUUCAUAUUAAUUUUUGGAGCCUUGACAAAAGGUACUAGGAUUUCAGGCUUGUCACAUACGAAGCAUGGCCAUGACAAAAUUGUUCUUAUGAGGCAAGCUGAGCAUGAAUGAACUUUAUCCUGCAGAAUUUAUGGUUAGCCUAUGAUCUUCAAAGUGGCCUUGGUCUAGUAUCUGAAGAUGAUCAUAAUCUUUCAUUUCAUGCUAUGGAUUGGUGUUCUAAUUGUCCUCUUAUUAGGAUUCCAUCUUUAGAGAUAGUUGGGUUUACCAAACUUUUGGUUGAGGUUGGGUCCCAAAACAAUUUUCAUUAGCUAUUGAUCAUAGAGAAAAUGGAAGAAAGAGAAAAUUAAAUGUAAUUUGCAUUUAAUUUCGUGAGAAUAAACAAACGUUUUUUUUUUUGUUUGAAAAAGAUGAUUUAAAAAAACAAGAUUAAAUAGGAUAAAAGUUUAUCUUUUUUAUUUACAUUUUGGGACGGAUGGAGUAUUUCUUUUUAGAGUUUUUCUAUUUACACCUCAUAUUUUUCUGGUUACAUCCAAAUUUUCUUAAAUUUUUUUUAUAAUACCAAAAUUGUCAUUUUAUAUAAAUUUUCUUAAAACCCUAAUUUUAUUCAUUGUCGGUGAGUUUUACCCUCUUUCACCCCACAAAGCGAUCAAUCAAACAAUUUGAUGUUCAAUAUCAAUCUCCAUGAAAAUUAAAGAGUGAAUCAAAAUAUUUUUCAUCCAUACUCAAUUGGAUAUAAGUAAGUGAAUUUCUUCUUCUAUUUGCUAGUUUCAAUUUUUUUCCUUCAACUGCAAUGAUGCACUGUACGAUUACGAUUUUAAUUUACAUUGGCAAGGUUAACUUACAUGAACCUACUUAAACUGAGUUUACAUGAACCUACUUAAAUUGAGUUUACAUGAACCUACUUAAACUGAGUUUACAUGAACCUACUUAAACUGAGUUUACAAAAUCGCAGAACUGCGAAUCGCAGAACAAGGAAAAUACAAAAUCAGAACUGAGAACCCAUAACAAGAAAAACACAAUCGAUUGAAGAACAACACUUGCUAACCUGAUUUGCUUCUAAUUUUCUUUGAAAUCAUGAAUGGACGUGAGAAAGUAUGGUUUUGAAAAUCUUCGCAGAACACAAUCGAUCGAUUGGAGAAUUAUGGUUUUGGAAGAAGGGUUUUGGGGUGUAACCAAAAAAGAAGGAAUAUGCUUUUUGAAAAUCAAAUUUUAUGAAAGGGUAAUCUUGUCAUUUUGGGGUGCAACUAUGAUUAACUAGGGUGCAAGUAGAAAAACUCAAAAUGUUAUUUCCACAAAAUUUAAUUCUACAUAUUUAAAAUUAUGUCAACCCUUAUAAAUCUUUCAAAAAAAAAUAAUUAUUUCAGCCCUCAUUUUAUGUUUGAAAUUGGAGAAGUCAUUUGAGUUUUCCUAAAUGUUUGUGUGUUGAGAAUUUUCAGUAGGGGUGUUUUUUAUCUUUCUAGUAUUGUGUAUACACUUUUAUUUAGUUACAUGAUGAAAUAUAUUUAGCGAAAGAGCUUCCUGGUGAGUACUCUUGGAGCACAAGAGAGUACUACGUCACAUAACAGCACCAUCAAUGAUAAGUGAAAUUAGUGGAUUGAAUUUUUUAACUUGUGAAACUGUUAUUAAGAAGCAAUGUUUCAUGACAAAAAGUCAAAAAUAAAAUGAAGAAGAAAAAAACUGGAAAAAAGAAGAAAGACAGCCAGAAGGCCACGAAAAAGAAAGCCAGAAAAUAGUCUCGUUGAAGAGGCAAAACACGAUACAAAUAACUAGUUGUGAGAGUCUCACAAAGUUUCACAAGUUUUUGUGAGAUGGUUAAAUAGGUGUGGUACUCAUAUUUUUAACUAAAAAGUCUCAUAAAAUCCAUCAUUUCAAAGAAUCCAUCUAAAUCUUUAUAUUUUUGAAUACCAGACAUUUUAUAAGUUAUGAAAAAUCUUGAUUGAAUACCAAUGAAUUUCGUAGUCUUGAAUAAAAAAUCUUGAUUAUUGAAUACCUCAAGAUUCUUUUAUAUUCUAAAAAUGUCUUGAUUGAAUACCACAAGAUUGUUUUAUAGUUAAAAAGUUUUUUAAAAUCUCUUGAAAUCCUAAUCGAAUACACCCCCUUAUUCUUCUAUCUUAUUAUUGAUCAAAAACAAUAGUGAGAGAAAGAGGAAGAAAGAGAGUAAGAAUACAAUAGAUUGUCAUAAAAUAUGAUUGUACAAAUAUCAUUUAUCUAUUCAUAAUAACUACCAUUCUCUUUUUUCAGCAAAUAGCAUAAUGAUGAGAAUAACACUACAGGUUUGAGCCCACGAUCAAGGAUUGCUUUGUAAUUUUGCUACAUUGAGAGACUAUUAUGGCUACUCGUUAUACAUUUAGGAACGAAAAUGAAUAUUUGUCCAUCAAUCGAACGGUAACCGAAAAACCCAAGAAAGGAUUUGAAGAGGUUUCUGGUAAAGCUGCCGGAAAUGUAAACACAAGUAUUUCUAAAAUUUGGCUGAACUCGGAAACGUUGUAUACUGAUUACUGGAAAAAGAAAAUACAAAUCGAUAGGUUUGAGGUGGUGGUUUUGUCAUGCGGGGGUGAACUCAAAAAUGUUGAAAGUGAGUGAAAAUUAAUGUGUAAAAAAUUAAAUGGUAAAAAGGAUAAAAUUGGAAUUUUUUAAGAAUUGUAGGGGUGAAAGUACAUACGGCUAAUAAUAUAUGAAAAUAAGGCUAAUAAUACAUUCUUUAACAUAUUUAUUAAAAAAAAUACAAUCUUUAACACAUAUUUUCUCUUAUCAAUUAAAAUUUAUGAGUCUCACUAAAUUUAGAUGGGAACCAUAUAAUAUGAUGGAAGUGGAACACAUAAAUUUUAGUCAAUAAAAUCAAGUCCGUUGAAAAAUGUGUUAAGAGUGUGUCGUAGCACUCCUCUUUUAACUUGCAUUUCUAAGAUUGAAUUUCAAAUUAAAAGACCAAUUGUUCCGAAACAAUCUCAUCCAAUCAACCGCACUUUGGUCACGUCUGCAUUUUUGUAUCGCCAAAUUAUAUAUUCUUUCCAACAACAAAAGUUCAUUGAUUCUCCACGUUUUUUUGGACAAAGGCUCAAGUUAACUAGAAAGUAGAAAAAACAUUUUUAUUAUAAAAAGAACACCAACUGGAUUGUAAAACAGCACAAGACAAGAAGUGAGGUGAAGUGCAACAAUGGAUGGUAAGGUAGAAGCAUCCUCAAAAGAAGCAGAUGAGAGUUUGAGUAUUGGGAGCAAGCGUGGUGGUUGGAUAAGUUUCCCUUUCUUCAUUGGUAUCUCUUCUUCCUUUCAUCUUUGAACUCUCAUCAACAUUAUGCACUCACUUUACACAUCAAAAGUUUUUUUUCUUCUUCCGUUUUAACCUCGAUAUCAUGAUUUUUACAAGAAAGAGAUCAUAAUAAUCUGAAAUUUGAUUAAAAGGUAAAUAGACUAUGAUUAAUAAUGAUUAUUUCAGUUAUGAUUCAUACUCAUAUUCUCAUGAAAUAUUAGUCUAUUUUGUUUGUUUUAAAGAGGGUAUGUAUCGUCGAAACUCAUAUACACUACUAAAUACACGUCACAACGUAUCAAAUGUUCUUGCAAACAAUUUGAGUCCAUCAACUAGGUAUAAAUGUUAAAAGGAUGAUCAUAUUUUUUUUAUGUUGUUGAUUAAAUUAUAGGUAUGGUAGCGGGGUUGUCACUAGCAAGUGCAGGAAUUGGGGGGAAUUUGAUUGUAUAUCUUAUAAAAGAAUUCAAUAUAAAGAGCAUCAAUGCAGCUCAAAUUGUAAACGUUGUUGUUGGAAGCUCCAAUCUAUUACCAAUCAUUGCUGCAAUCCUUGCUGAUUCUUUCUUUGGCUCUUUCUCUGUUGCCUUUACAACUUCUUGUGUUGCUUUGCUGGUAAACUACAUCAAACUAUAUCUCUAUAUCCAUAUAUAUAUGCAAGCAUUUUCCAUUCACCAAAAAAAAUUAUGCAAGCAUUUUCUUUUGUUUUCUGCUUAAUCUAUUUAUUUGUUAGAUUUGUUAGAUUUUCAGAUGAAGUGUUUCCUUUGGGUUUUUUUUUAUUUUAUGGAAGCCUUUGCUGAAUAAAUGAGAAAUUUUAAUCAAAUUUAUCAAGUACUUUGAAAACAAAUACUAACAGUAUAUCCAGUAUAAAAUAAAAUAAAAAUUUAACAGUAUAUUCUUCCUGAUCACACACACUUUUAUAUUGAUUUGAAAUUUUAUAAGACUUACAUUUAAUUUCAUGAAACUCAUUUUUUUUUUUUUUGGUUAUAACAUGAAACUCAUUUAAGUUUCAAUAAACGAGAAAAUGUAUUAAAAAUAUGUUUAUGCUUUUAGCACUCAACUCAUUUAAGUUUCAAUAAAUGAGAAAAUGUAUUAAAAAUAUGUUUAUGCUUUUAGCACUCGUCAACUUUGGAAAAAAGGAUCCCUCAAAAAAAAAAAAAAAAAACUUUGGAAGAAGGAAAAGAACAAAAGUGUAACACCUACUAUUUUUUUAACUAAGUUCAAUCAUGAUCAAAUAAUGUAGGACUAAAUCACAAACAUCAACUAUUAACCAUGAUUUUGUAUAAAGUUCAAAUCAUGAUCAAAUAAUUGUAGUAAUAAUUCCACAAACAUCAAUUAUUAACCAUGAUUCUGUAUCUCCUUUCUUUGGGUCGAUAAUGACACAUUAUGAAAAGUAAAACGCUGAUUAAUAUAACUCCAUCAAAUGACAAAUCAUUCGAAGAAUUCAACCUUAAUUUAGAAUGGAAUAAUUAUUAUUCAAAUUUUAAUUACCUUAUGAUCAAACUUCGAAUUACUAGACCUCUCUAAUCUAAAAAUCGGAGUGUUAAACAAUAUAUAUAUAUAUAUAUAUAUAUAUAUAUAUAUAUAUAUAUAUAUAUAUAUAACACACACAAAUAAACACUAACUAGUGUCUUAUAGACAAAUGUUAAUAAACUCAAUAGGGAAAUAUCCAUCUUAAAAAUCAUACAUUUAACUAAGAACCUUUCAAUCAUGCAUUUUUAUUUUAAUAUUCUCUUUGUUUAACAAUUAGUGUCAUUUUAGUAAAAAAAAUAUUUCGAAAUAAAUGACAAUUUCAAUUUCUAUUGCAAUAUUAGUUAUUUCUUUUCAAUUAAACUCUCUAAAUACGUUACUCCCAACAUAUUGCUUCUACUUUACAUUUAUGAUACUAAAAAAGACAACAAAAGAUAGUUUGGUAAAAUAAUUAUUUUCUUUUAAUAUUUAAAAUAUUACUUCUAUUUUACAUUUAUGAUACUAGAAAAUACAACAAAGGAUAAUUCUCUUUUUUUUUUAAUCGUUGGAUCUCUUAAUAUAUGUGUGAAAAUCUGAAAGGAAAUUCAUUUUGAAAUGGAGAGAGUAAUUUCCAUCAAGAUCGGAUUGAAAUUAGGAGAUACUAAAACAAAUAUGCAGUGACAUUGACCCAAAUAAAAAAAAAUAAAACAAACAUAAAUGUAAUAAGAAAAUAAAAUCAACAUGUGAUUUCAAAAUGUCAAUCCAUCAUAAACACUUUGUAACAUUUUAAAAAAAAUAUAUAUUUUAUUAUAGUUUUUUAAUUUUUAAUUUUUUUUAGAAAUGACAAUAGAAAUUUGUUUAAAAACUACUUAAAUCAAAAUAAUGUUUUAUAAAAUGAUCCUAAAAACUAUUUUGAAUGUAUGAUUUUAUUAUAAUAUACAAACACAAAAUAGUAUCAAAAUUAAAUUCAUAUCAUUUUUUUUUUUUCUGUUUUAAAAAGUCUAGCAGUGAAAUUCAUACAAUCUAACGGUUGAAGUGCAGAAUUACGAGUUUGAUUCAACUUCUUAAUGUAUCAAAUGUUUUUGCAACUUUUUAUCACCCGAAUUGUACUUACAUGACAUUCAUAUCGAUUCUUUAAUUGACUUGAUUUGAAAUGAUUGAUUCUAUAAAGUUAAAUGUAAAGUGGUAUAUUGUUUGAUACAUUAUGUAAACGUGAGUUGAAAACAAUUUCAAGACUAAAUUCUAAGUUUAAUUGAAAAUCAAUUCUACUCGAGAACAUACAAACAUGUCAAAAUUUAUUCUACACAUUUAUAAUUAAUUUGGGCGCCUCAAGUGUAAAUCAAACAUACAUUUUUUUGUACCGAAUACUCAUUUAAAUUUUCACAUUUGAAUUUGCAGGGCACAAUUCUUUUAACCUUAACAGCAACAAUCAAUUCAUUAAAGCCUCAUCCAUGCAGCAAUGAUUCAUCCAUCACAUGCAUACCACCAACAGGAAUCCAAUAUACAGUUUUAUACAUAAGCAUAGUCCUAAUAUCAAUUGGUUUUGGUGGUUCACGUUUCACAGCAGCAUCACUAGGUGCAAAUCAGUUUGACAAACUUGAAGAUCAAGGAACAUUUUUCAACUGGUUCUUUUUCACUUUCUAUGUUGCUUCUGGAGCUGCAUUAACUGGAGUUAUUUACAUUGAAGAUAAUUUGGGUUGGUCUUUAGGAUUUGGUAUCUGUGCUGUGGCUACUUUUGUUGGUGUGGUUGUUUUUUUGUCGGGUUAUCGAUUUUAUCGAGCCGAAAAGCCUCAAGGAAGUGCGGUUUUGGAUUUGGGACGUAUUUUUGUUGCAUCUGUUCGGAAGUGGAAGUGUAAGCUCUCAUCUAGAGUUGAGGAUUACUAUGUCAGUUCUUCUGGUUGUGGUGAUUCUAUGAUUGAAGUGCCAACUCCGCCAACACCAGGAAAAAGAUUAAGGUACUAAGCAUAAUUUGGAUUUGUUAACAAUAGAGAGAAUAACAAUGAAGGAUAAGUUCAAUAAAAUACCAAAUGCGUAACAUAUCAAACUAAGGAGUAAAAGAUUUGUUAUAGUCUUGGUACUGGUGGUGUAAAAAGCAUUACAGUGAUGAUUGCUUUUUAAAUUGAGGCUAAAAUUAGCACAAGAGAGUAUCAUCAGUAUCACGUGUUAUAUAGUGGUGGUAGUGGGCAAAUAUUUAAUAGUGCUCAUAAUUUUGACUAUAGUUGUAGCAGUUGAGAUAGAAUAGUGGAGUGAGCAACUAUUAGUAAUGGCCACGAUUGUCCAUUGUUAACAAAGGCUAGUGGACCCAAAUCAUGUAAAGUUGCAUUAGUUUUUUUUUUAUUUACUUAUUUUAGCCGAAAUGGUAGGACCCCUUCUCAGACUCUGUAUGCGGGAGCUUUAGUGCAUCGAACUGCCAAAUUUUGGUUAUUUAUUCGUUAAAAUAUUCUAAAUAGGUUGUUUAUGCGUUAAAAUAAUCUAAGUUGUUAGUCGAAGAUGUCAGGUAACUGAGUAAAUGAUAAGUCAAAGUAAAGUUAGUAGUCUGCAUAGACGAAUCUUUCUCGGUCUGCAAAAACAUUAUGUUAAUCUAUAUGCAAAUGCAGGUUCUUCAAUCGCGCAACUCUGAUAACUGAUGCAGACCUAAAAUCAGAUGGCUCAAUUAAGAAAUCAUCAUGGAAACUAUGCACAGUUCAACAAGUGGAAGAUUUCAAAAAGAUAUUUGGAAUCCUACCACUAUGGAGUUCAAGUAUAUUCUUAGCAACUCCAAUAGCAAUCCAAAGUAGUGUGACGGUACUUCAAGCUUUAGCCAUGGAUCGCUCAUUAGGACCCCAUUUCAAAAUUCCAGCUGGUUCUGUUUCUGUUAUAGUCAUAAUAUCAACAUCCAUUUUCCUCACCUUUCUUGACAGAGUGCUAUUGCCAUGUUGGCAUAAGAUUACUGGAAAAACGCCUAUGCCACUUCAACGAAUAGGAGUAGGACAUGUGUUGACUGUUCUUGGCAUGGUUGUCUCUGCUCUUGUUGAAUCAAAGAGGCUCAAAUUGGUACAUGUGCAUGUGGAAAUGUCUGUGUUAUGGUUGUUUCCACAAUUAGUGUUGGUUGGUAUUGGAGAAGCUUUUCAUUUUCCUGGACAAGUUACAUUCUAUUAUCAACAAUUUCCACAAUCACUUAAGAUCACAUCAACUGCAAUGAUUUCAAUGCUUAUAGGUAUUGCUUUUUAUUUGAGCACUGCUUUAAUUGACCAAGUUCGUAGGAGUACUGAUUGGUUACCUGAUGAAAUAAAUCAUGGCAAGGUUGAUAAUGUGUAUUGGAUGUUGGUCAUGUUUGGAGCUAUCAACUUUGUGUAUUACUUACUGUGCUCUAUUUCUUACAAGUAUGAAAAUGUUUAAGAGGUUAUGAUGUUAUGAUGAAUGUUAUCUG